GGCCGUGUGGCCUAAUGGAUAAGGCGCUGGACUUCUAAUCCAGAGAUUGUGGGUUCGAGUCCCACUUCGGUCA
rnacentral:tRNA from 1 species